GCUUUCGUGGUGUAGCGGUAACAUUGGGUCUUCCCACCUCAGGAGUAACGUGAUUCCGCGUAACUCCGGAUUCAUGUUGCACUUGGUUGGGCUAGCUCCGGGUUCGACUCCCGGCGGACGCA